UCCGUAGGUGAACCUGCGGAAGGAUCAUUACCGAGUUGAUUCGGGCUCCGGCCCGAUCCUCCCACCCUUUGUGUACCUACCUCUGUUGCUUUGGCGGGCCGCGGUCCUCCGCGGCCGCCCCCCUCCCCGGGGGGGUGGCCAGCGCCCGCCAGAGGACCAUCAAACUCCAGUCAGUAAACGAUGCAGUCUGAAAAACAUUUAAUAAACUAAAACUUUCAACAACGGAUCUCUUGGUUCUGGCAUCGAUGAAGAACGCAGCGAAAUGCGAUAAGUAAUAUGAAUUGCAGAAUUCAGUGAAUCAUCGAAUCUUUGAACGCACAUUGCGCCCUUUGGUAUUCCGAAGGGCAUGCCUGUUCGAGCGUCAUUACAACCCUCAAGCUCUGCUUGGUAUUGGGCACCGUCCUUUGCGGGCGCGCCUCAAAGACCUCGGCGGUGGCGUCUUGCCUCAAGCGUAGUAGAACAUACAUCUCGCUUCGGAGCGCAGGGCGUCGCCCGCCGGACGAACCUUCUGAACUUUUCUCAAGGUUGACCUCGGAUCAGGUAGGGAUACCCGCUGAACUUAAGCAUAUCAAUAAGCGGAGGA
rnacentral:rRNA from 1 species